rnacentral:rRNA from 1 species
UGCGAACUGGAUGUUGGUCUCAACUCGGAGAUCAGUGUCGAAGCUAACGCGUUAAGUUCGCCGCCUGGGGAGUACGGUCGCAAGACUGAAACUCAAAGGAAUUGACGGGGGCCCGCACAAGCGGUGGAGUAUGUGGUUUAAUUCGAUGCAACGCGAAGAACCUUACCUGGCCUUGACAUGUCUGGAAUCCUGCAGAGAUGCGGGAGUGCCUUCGGGAAUCAGAACACAGGUGCUGCAUGGCUGUCGUCAG